AAGAUCUCUGGUUGUCGUCUAAUGUCCAGUCCGGGACCACGCCUGCUACCUAACGCCACGACAGCGUAACGGCUGCGCUCCGUUAGUGCGGACGUUAACCGCGACCCACUGUUUGCGUCGACCUGAGGAACACGUGGCCUAGGCUCUUGGUGCUUUUCGGGGCCCGCAGGUCAAUUUUGUUUUUUGUUCUUUUCUGGUGGCGGUUGGACACGUGGUGGUGUAGAAUCGAUUGUCAGCACAUGCAGCUGAAACUGGAUGAUGUGCCUUUGACGGUUGGAUGAUUAACCGUGGUUACUUGGCUAUGCUUUAGUUGGUUAAUAAUCCAUAUGGACGAAUUUG
rnacentral:lncRNA from 1 species